CGCAGAGGCUCAUUCAAUGCCCAUGCCACAGAAAUUGCUACUGGAAAAGGUGCAACUUCCGCAGAAGGGGUUGAAUGUUUGGAACCCCAAUUUGAUAGCUGCGACAAAGUGGACGCUCCACCAAGGGGAUGGGCUUCAGGAAAGGAUGGAGGAGGCUGCCGGGGAAAAAAGAAAACGAGGAGCCACUGCUGCCAAGUGAUCAAUCUUGCCUGAUUUAUG
rnacentral:lncRNA from 11 species